UAGACAGCUUUAAAAACUGAAGGAUUCUAAUUAUCCACAGAACAGGUACAAUUUGGCCAGUGGCAGAAUAUAUGAGUUCAUAUUGCCCUGCCGAUGUGCCUCAGAUAUAUUUCUUAGGACUUCAUGUGAUAUAUCAGGUAGCACCAGAUGUGUUUCUUUCCUUCUCUUCU
rnacentral:sRNA from 1 species